GAUGAACGCUGGCGGCGUGCUUAACACAUGCAAGUCGAACGGAAAGGCCCUGCUUGCGGGGUACUCGAGUGGCGAAAGGGUGAGUAAAACGUGGGAGAUACGCCCUGUACUCUGGGAUAAGACUGGGAAAAAGGGUCGAAUACCGAAGAUGACAAUUGGUUGGAUGCGGUUGUGGGAAGCUUUUGUGGUCUGGGGUGAGGUCGCGGCCUAUCGGCUAGUUGGUGGGGUAAUGGCCUACCAAGGAGGCGACGGGUAGCCGGCCUGCGGGGGUGUACGGCCACAUUGGGACCGCGAUACGGCCCAGACUCCUACGGGGGGCAGCAGUGGGGAAUAUUGCACAAUGUGCGCAAGCCUCAUGCCGCGACGCCGCGUGGGGGAUGACUGGCUUCGGGUUGUAGACUCCUUUCGCGACCGACGAAGCCUUUUGGUGACGGUAGGUUGAGAAGAAGCACCGGCUAACUACGUG
rnacentral:rRNA from 1 species